AGAAAUUUAGGUUAAAUAGACCAAGGACCUUCAAAGCCCUAAGUAAGUACCCAUACUUAAUUUCUG
rnacentral:tRNA from 1 species